AGAGUUUGAUCCUGGCUCAGAACGAACGCUAGCGGCGUGCUUCAAACAUGCAAGUCGUACGCGAAAGUGACUUCGGUCAUGAGUAGAGUGGCGCACGGGUGAGUAACACGUAGUUAACAUUCCCUCUCGCUGGGGAUAACUCCGGGAAACCGGAGCUAAUACCGAAUGAUCUGUCGGAGCCUGCGGGCUCUUCCGGUAAAGCCGUAAGGCGCGAGAGGAUUGGGCUGCGUUCCAUUAGCUAGUUGGCGGGGUAACGGCCCACCAAGGCUACGAUGGAUAGCUGGUCUGAGAGGAUGAUCAGCCACACUGGAACUGACACACGGUCCAGACUCCCACGGGAGGCAGCAGUUGGGAAUAUUGGACAAUGGGGGCAACCCUGGAUCCAGCGACGCCGCGUGAGUGAUGAAGGCCUUCGGGUCGUAAAGCUCUUUUAGUGGGGAAGAAGGGAAACUUGACGGUACCCACAGAAAAAGCACCGGCUAACUCUGUGCCAGCAGCCGCGGUAAUACAGAGGGGUGCAAGCGUUGUUCGGAAUUAUUGGGCGUAAAGCGCGUGUAGGCGGUCAUCUAAGUCUGGUGUGAAAUCCCUCGGCUCAACUGAGGAAGUGCAUUGGAUACUGGAUGACUAGAGGAUGAUAGAGGAGAGUGGAAUUCCNGGUGUAGGGGGUGAAANUCCGUACAUAUCUGGANGGAACACCAGANGGCNAAGGCNGCUCUCUGGCUCAUUNCU
rnacentral:rRNA from 1 species